AGGGCACCACCAGGAGUGGAGCCUGCGGCUUAAUUUGACUCAACACGGGGAAACUCACCCGGCCCGGACACCGUAAGGAUUGACAGAUUGAUAGCUUUUUCAUGAUUCGGUGGAUGGUGGUGCAUGGCCGUUCUUAGUUCGUGGAGCGAUUUGUCUGGUUUAUUCCGAUAACGAGCGAGACUCUAGCCUACUAAAUAGUUCGCACAUUGUCUCUGUGUGUGUGACUUCUUAGAGGGAUUUUCGGUGUUCAGCCGCACGAAAUUGAGCAAUAACAGGUCUGUGAUGCCCUUAGAUGUCCGGGGCUGCACGCGCGCUACACUGGCAAAAUCAGCGUGCUUGUCCUUCCCCGAAAGGGGUUGGUAAACCCUUGAAAAUUUGCCGUGAUUGGGAUUAGAAAUUGCAAUUAUUUUCCAUGAACGAGGAAUUCCAAGUAAGUGCGAGUCAUCAGCUCGCGUUGAUUACGUCCCUGCCCUUUGUACGCACCGCCCGUCGCGGCCCGGGACUGAGCCAUUUCGAGAA
rnacentral:rRNA from 1 species